rnacentral:misc_RNA from 1 species
AACGCACGAGACCUGCGGACCUGCGGAGGGAUCAUUAUAGAGUGGUAAACCCUCUGUAAAAGGGGGGGACCUCCUGUCCUUUGUAGGCUCUUUUUUAAAGGGCUUUUUUUAAUUUUCUGCUUCGGUGGGGUUAUCCCACCGGAACAACCUCAAAACUCUGAUCAAAAAAUCGUUCUGUCUGAGAACUUUUUAUAAUAAAAAAAACUUUCAACAAUGGAUCUCUAGAUCGGAAGAGCACAC